UCGGGGGUGAUGUAAUUGGCAACAUGCGAGGUUUUGGUCCUCGUCUUAGGGGUUCGAGUCCUCUCCCCCGAG
rnacentral:tRNA from 1 species